rnacentral:piRNA from 1 species
UUAAAAAACCAGAUCAAACCA